GGGCUGGGGCUCAGUGGCAGAGUGCUUGCCUAGCAUGCAUGAGGCACUGGGUUCAAUCCCCAGCACCACA
rnacentral:tRNA from 1 species